GGCCGGUUGGCCCAAUGGCAAGGCGUCUGACUACGACUUCCCACAAUCCUCACUCUUGAGGAAUUGAAGAGAUCGUGUAAUCAGGAGAUUCUGGGUUCGACCCCCAGGCUGGUCA
rnacentral:tRNA from 1 species